UACGGGGAGCAGCAGGCGCGAAAACUCUCCAAUGUGCGAAAGCGUGAGAGGGGGAUUCCUAGUGCUUACGGUUUAUCUGUAGGCUUUUGCCAUGUGUAAAUAGCAUGGCGAAUAAGUGGUGGGUAAGACUGGUGCCAGCAGCGCGGUAA
rnacentral:rRNA from 1 species